GGUUUCAUCAUCAUCACCUUUCAUCUUUACAUUAAUCAUCAAGAAAAAAAAUACGUAAGACAUGGCUGUAUGGGCAUAGUUCCCUUUGCCUUACCCUUUGGGGAAAACCAAAACAAAUAACAAUAACUUCAACCCAAAUUCUGUCGCAUCUAUAAUAAAAUACAAUAAUUAACUUAAUUUUAUUGAAUAAAAAGCCCAAAACUGAUAAAUUCCUCACAAAGUAAACGGUCAAGAGAUGUUGAGACAAUCUAAACUUGUAACAUAAAGAGGAAUUUAUUUAUAUAUCCACUACUAUUACUUUGAGAUUAUUUUGUUGAAUACGAAAUGAGUUGAGAGCAUUUAGUUCUGACGAUCAAGAAGGAAUAUCACACAGGAUUCAUCAUCAUGCAAAUGUUGAGGUUAUGCUGCUCUACAUCAUACGUACUAAAGAAAUAAAUAAAAAGAAUUAACGAAAAUAACAUAAGUGUGAGAGUAGAAUCUGUGACGCCAACUAAAGUAAUACAUGAACAGUGUCUUCACCUAUAAUUAAUAAAUAAUGUACUAGUGGAAAUGA